AGAGUUUGAUCCUGGCUCAGGAUGAACGCUGGCGGCGUGCCUAAUACAUGCAAGUAGAACGCUGAAGCUUGGUGCUUGCACCGAGCGGAUGAGUUGCGAACGGGUGAGUAACGCGUAGGUAACCUGCCUGGUAGCGGGGGAUAACUAUUGGAAACGAUAGCUAAUACCGCAUAACAGUAGAUAUUGCAUGAUAUCUGCUUGAAAGGUGCAAAUGCAUCACUACCAGAUGGACCUGCGUUGUAUUAGCUAGUUGGUGAGGUAACGGCUCACCAAGGCGACGAUACAUAGCCGACCUGAGAGGGUGAUCGGCCACACUGGGACUGAGACACGGCCCAGACUCCUACGGGAGGCAGCAGUAGGGAAUCUUCGGCAAUGGGGGGAACCCUGACCGAGCAACGCCGCGUGAGUGAAGAAGGUUUUCGGAUCGUAAAGCUCUGUUGUAAGAGAAGAACGAGUGUGAGAGUGGAAAGUUCACACUGUGACGGUAUCUUACCAGAAAGGGACGGCUAACUACGUGCCAGCAGCCGCGGU
rnacentral:rRNA from 1 species